AAAACCCGAAGAUAAGAAAACACGAAAUAAUACAAAAUGAAGAUAUCUAGCAUUUCUAUACAAUACAUGUCUCAGAGGUAUACAGAUAAAGCAACACUGAAUAUAUGCAUGAGAUGCAAUGCAAUGCAUGAACACUGCGGAACGUGCAACCCGAUCCAUUUGGGUACCGGCGCUCACUGUGGAGGUUCAGACUCCGGAGGGGCUCCUCAGCCCAAGCGCCUUAUCAUACAGUGCCAAUAGUUACCAAUGUUUCCAUGAGAAUAUACGGUGCCAAUAGUUACCACCGUUCCAAGAAAAUAUACAGUCCAGAAAAAUAUGGAGAUAGCAAGCGUUAGCCCAAAAUAUCAUUUGAGUUUUCAAAUGUAUAAGUAUAGUUGAGUUUUCAAAAGUAGUGUUUAAAACCCUGGACUGAAUUCAAAUAAUAUACAAAUCAUGAUAAUUCUGAGAUAACGAUGCCUGAAGGAUUCUACAAGUUGGAACAAGGCCUCAAACAUGGCAUCAAGCCUAGAUAUCAUCAACAUAGUAUGCGAAGCAAUCGCCAACAUGACACAGUUUAUCCCUCGGAUUGGACCGAGUCACCAUUCCCAACAUAUACAACCCCGCACUAACCAUGGAGUGCAUGUCCAGCCUCAUAAUAGCUUCACAAUGUGAUAUACCGGAAUUUCAAAUCCUCGAGUCAUCAUCUACACCCAUUACUCACCUCAAGCUGGCCGCAAACUAGCUCGCAAUGCCUUUCCCUCGAGAAUCAACCUCCGCGGAUGCCAAAUCUGAUAUAAACCAAUAGGAAUACGUCACAAUAGGCUAAUGAAACAUAACCCAAUCAAAAUAACUCAAUAAUCAACCUCCGCGGAUGUCAAAUCUUGUCAAAACCAAUAAGAAUACGUCAAAAUAGGCCAAUAGAACAUAACACAAUCGAAAUAACUCGAAAUACA
rnacentral:lncRNA from 1 species